rnacentral:lncRNA from 1 species
GUGUCACCAAAAUUGUCUACUUAGUUCUGUUAUUAGUAAGAACAGAAAAUUGAUUUAAUAAUAUUGUUGGCCCUUUCACCUAUACAUCUCAUUUCUACACCUUUCCCAAUCAUGCCUAUAAUCAAACAACACACACUAAUUCAUCACUUAAACAACAAUAAUGGACUGGUAAAUAGUAAUACCCAGAAGAUAAAAAUACAAUCAGCAGAUCACUAUGAAUAGAUGGACUGUUUUACUAGAGUUGACUACACAUAACAGUCAUUACACAACUAAUUCACAACUUAAACAACAAAAAACAAGGUCUGAAUGCUUGUACAUGCUAGUCAGAUCACACAAAAAUCAUCGAACUACACAAACUACUCUAAUGCUUGUCCUUUUUAGUCUUUAGUUUUUCAAUUUUUUUUCCUUUUGUGCUACCAACUGAUUUGCGGACAUAGCUGAUUUGCCUCUCCAAGUGAGCUUCUUUGGUGAAUAUGGAAGAUUAGUAGACACAUUAACACCAUCUAUAUCUCCUUUGAAGCCAAUCUGCCUAGUACCAACAGGUUACUGUCUCUAAUUUUCAGAGAGGGAAAUAUUAGUCGUAUGAAUGACAGAAGAAGCAGAAGAAGAUUCAGACAUUUUGAAGCUAAACACGAUGGGGAAGAUGUAAAAACUCUGAUUUUUAGAUUUGGGAGAGAGAAGAAGAACAAGAACCCUAAUUUUCGGAGUAUCAGUCAUAUGGGGAUAGCUUAAGUCGUAUUUGACUGAUAAGUUAUAGGGUUUUAGUGGGUAAUGUAGGAGUUGGGUUGGGUCGGUCUCAAACAGGCGGUGGGUUGAACAUAUUUGGGAUGAUUUUUAAAUCAACUAAUAGUAUAAUGUCAUGUCAUUAAAAAGAAUUUUGAUUUAAAAUUUGAAAUGGACAGUUAACCUAAAGGGCAUAUGUGUGCCAAAAAUUUAUAUUUAGCCUAAUAGAUGAAUAAGGGAUAAUAUUAGACCAAAUAUAAUAAUUGAAGGGCAUAGCUGACCCUUUUUGGUAAAAUGUAUAACGCCG